UACGGAGGGUGCGAGCGUUGUCCGGAAUCACUGGGCGUAAAGGGCGCGUAGGCGGCGCGGUUAGUCGGCGGUGAAAGCCCGGAGCUCAACUCCGGGUCGGCCGUCGAUACUUCCGGGCUUGAGCACUGUAGAGGCAGAUGGAAUUCCGGGUGUAGCGGUGGAAUGCGUAGAGAUCCGGAAGAACACCGGUGGCGAAGGCGGUCUGCUGGGCAGUUGCUGACGCUGAUGCGCGACAGCGUGGGGAGCAAACAGG
rnacentral:rRNA from 1 species